rnacentral:tRNA from 1 species
UUCGGGGUAGCCUAGAGGACAUGGCAUCUGCCCAGUAAGCGGAACAUUACGAGUUCGAUUCCCAUCCCUGGAC